rnacentral:tRNA from 1 species
GGAGGCCUCAGUGGUAGAGCUUCUAUUAGGUAUGCAGAAGGCCCUCGGUUCGAUCCCUAGCACCUCCA